AUAAAGAAACAGCAUACAGCUCAAUAAAUCAGCACCAUUGUCAAAAUUAAUUGGUCUCAUAACAUCUGAGAAACUCAGUUAAAGGUGACCAUAUUUUCACAAAAUCCCCUCCCCUUCCUCUAACAAUAUAAGUGAGUCAUUCCAACAAAGUGACACUCCU